UAGAAAUAUUAGAUGGAGCAGGGGCAGGCCCUGUAGGGCGAGGAGGGAAGCGGGGUCCCGCACUUGAGGGCAACAAGGGGAGCUGGGCCCAGGCCCUGGAGGGCAAGAAAGCCAGAGGGUCAGGCCCUGAAGGUGGGGAAGGGAAGGGAGCCUGGUACAGGAUGGUGAGGAGGGGAGCAGGGCCUGGCCCUGGGGGGUGAGGAAGGGAGAAGAGCCUGGACCUGGAGGGUGGCAAGGGGAGCAUGGACCAGGCCAUGUAGGGCAAGGAAGUGAGCAGGGUCUGGCCCUGGAGGAUGGAGAGGGGAGCAGGGAAGGACCACGGAGGGUGAGGAGGUGAGCUGGGCCUGGACCUGGAUGGCGAGGAGGGCACCAGGGCCUGGCCAUGGAGGGCAAGGAGGGGAUCAGGGCCCAGGCCAUGGAGGGCGAGGAGGGGAUCAGGGCCCAGGCCAUGGAGGGCGAGGAGGGGAUCAGGGUCAAUCCCUGGAGGGCGAGGAGGGGAGCAGGGCCCAGGCCCUGGAAGGCGAGGAGGUGAGCAGGGCCUGUCCCUGGAGGGAAAGGAGGGGAGCAGAGUAGGCCCUGGACAGCGGCAGGAGGAGCAAGGCCUGGCCCUGUAAGGCAGCAAGAGAUGUGAGGCCUGGCCCUGGAAGGAGAGGAGGGGAACGGGGCCCAUGCCCUGGAAGACAGCAAUGCCCGUUCAAGAGGGGCAUGGGGCCUGGCCCUUCAGGGCAAGGAAGGUAGCAGGGCUCGGCCCUAAAGGGCGAGUAGGGGACUAAGGUCCUGCACUGGAAGGCAGCUGGGGGAGAAGGGCCCGGCACUGGAAGGCAAGGAGGGGAGUAGGGCCCAACCCUGGAGGGUGGCGGGGGGAACAGGGCCUGGCCCUGGAUGACAGCAAGAGGUGUGGGGCCUGGACCUGGAAGGCAAGGAGGGGAGGAGGGUCCAUGCCCUGGAAGGCGAGGAGGGGAGCAGAGCCUGGCACUGGAGGGUGAGGAGUUGAGGAGGGCCCAGCCCUGGAGGGCAAGGAGGGGAGAGGGGGCCCUGCCCUGGAGGGCAGCAGGAGGAGCAAGCCUGCCCCUGGAGGUGAGGAGGGAGAGCAGGGCCCAUGCCCUGAAGGGAAGUGUUGGCUGUUCCUGAGGGGAGAAGGUCCUGGCCGUGGAGGGUGAGGAGGGCAGCAGGGCCUAGGCCCUGGAGGUGAGGAGGGGAGCAGUGUCAGGUCCUGAAGGGCGAGGGGGGGAAGUGUUGUCAGGAACUGGAGGGUGAGGAGGGGUGAGGGGGCAGGCCCUGGAGGCUGGCGAAGGGAACGGGGCCAGGCCCUGGAAGGCAGUGAGGGGAGUGGAUCCCAGGUCCUGGAUGGGAAGGAGGGGAGCUUG
rnacentral:lncRNA from 1 species